GGAAGGAUCAUUACCGAGUGCGGGCCCUCUGGGUCCAACCUCCCAUCCGUGUCUAUCUGUACCCUGUUGCUUCGGCGUGGCCACGGCCCGCCGGAGACUAACAUUUGAACGCUGUCUGAAGUUUGCAGUCUGAGUUUUUAGUUAAACAAUCGUUAAAACUUUCAACAACGGAUCUCUUGGUUCCGGCAUCGAUGAAGAACGCAGCGAAAUGCGAUAAGUAAUGUGAAUUGCAGAAUUCAGUGAAUCAUCGAGUCUUUGAACGCACAUUGCGCCCCCUGGUAUUCCGGGGGGCAUGCCUGUCCGAGCGUCAUUGCUGCCCUCAAGCACGGCUUGUGUGUUGGGCUUCCGUCCCUGGCAACGGGGACGGGCCCAAAAGGCAGUGGCGGCACCAUGUCUGGUCCUCGAGCGUAUGGGGCUUUGUCACCCGCUCCCGUAGGUCCAGCUGGCAGCUAGCCUCGCAACCAAUCUUUUUAACCAGGUUGACCUCGGAUCAGGUAGGGAUACCCGCUGAACUUAAGCAUAUCAAUAAGCGGAGGAAAAGAAACCAACCGGGAUUGCCUCAGUAACGGCGAGUGAAGCGGCAAGAGCUCAAAUUUGAAAUCUGGCCCCUCCGGGGUCCGAGUUGUAAUUUGUAGAGGAUGCUUCGGGUGCGGCCCCCGUCUAAGUGCCCUGGAACGGGCCAUCGGAGAGGGUGAGAAUCCCGUCUGGGACGGGGUGUCCGCGUCCAUGUGAAGCUCCUUCGACGAGUCGAGUUGUUUGGGAAUGCAGCUCUAAAUGGGUGGUAAAUUUCAUCUAAAGCUAAAUACUGGCCGGAGACCGAUAGCGCACAAGUAGAGUGAUCGAAAGAUGAAAAGCACUUUGAAAAGAGAGUUAAACAGCACGUGAAAUUGUUGAAAGGGAAGCGCUUGCGACCAGACUCGCUUCCGGGGUUCAGCCGGCUUUCGGGCCGGUGUACUUCCCCGGGGGCGGGCCAGCGUCGGUUUGGGCGGCCGGUCAAAGGCCCCUGGAAUGUAACGCCUCUCGGGGCGCCUUAUAGCCAGGGGUGUCAUGCGGCCAGCCUGGACCGAGGAACGCGCUUCGGCACGGACGCUGGCAUAAUGGUCGUAAACGACCCGUCUUGAAACACGGACCAAGGAGUCUAACAUCUACGCGAGUGUUCGGGUGUCAAACCCGUCCGCGCAGUGAAAGCGAACGGAGGUGGGAGCCCCCCGGGGCGCACCAUCGACCGAUCCUGAUGUCUUCGGAUGGAUUUGAGUAAGAGCGUAGCUGUGGGGACCCGAAAGAUGGUGAACUAUGCCUGAAUAGGGCGAAGCCAGAGGAAACUCUGGUGGAGGCUCGCAGCGGUUCUGACGUGCAAAUCGAUCGUCAAAUUUGGGUAUAGGGGCGAAAGACUAAUCGAACCAUCUGGUAGCUGGUUCCUGC
rnacentral:misc_RNA from 1 species